GUGCGCGCGCCCGUUCAACGUCCGGAGCAUCGGUGCAGUUUCGAGGGUAAAGCCUUUGGCGCGGUGAUGUGGACUUUUGUUCUCUAACUACAACUCCCAGCAUACGUCACCCCUCACGUGGGCGCUAGGUGUGGUUUCGUGGGAUAGGCAGAGACAGGGUUUCACCGUGUUAGCCAGGAUGGUCUCGAUCCCCUGACCUUGUGAUCUGCCCGCCUCGGCCUCCCAAAGUGCUGGGAUUACAGGUCACCAGUGAAAAGUUGUGCAGAGCCCAACAUGAGCUUCAUUUCCAAGCUGCCACCUAUCUCUGCCUCCUGCGUAGCAUCCGGAAACAUGUGGCCCUACAUCAGGAAUUUCAUGGCAAGGGUGAGCGCUCGGUGGAGGAGUCUGCUGGCUUGGUGGGUCUCAAGUUGCCCCAUCAGCCUGGAGGGAAGGGCUGGGAGCCAUGAACAUGGAGAAUAUCCUUGGAUGCUGCAUUCAUAGGAGAAUUGAAUAAUUUCUAUCAAUAUGUAUUUAUCAUUAAAUUUUUUUUAAGUUUAAGGUUUUUCUCUGUAAUUUUGUUUACUAGUUCUUAGGGGAAUUAACUGGACAUUUCAUCUUUACUCUCAGUGAAUUUACUGAACUUUUUGCACUAGACUGAUGUUGUUUUUCUACUUAAAAAAAUUUUUUUAUAUUUUAUUUUAAAAGUAGUACAAGCCUUAGCCAGGCACGGUGGCUCACGCCUGUAAUCCCAGCACUUUGGGAGGCCAAGGCAGGCGGAUCACCUGAGGUUGGGAGUUCGCGACCAGCCUGACCAACAUGGAAAAACCCCGUCUCUACUAAAAAUACAAAAUUAGCCAGGCGUGGUGGCACAUGCCUGUAAUCCCAGCUACUCAGGAGGCUGGGACAGGAGAAUCGCUUGAACCCGGGAGGUGGAGGUUGCGAUGAGCUGAGAUCGCGCCAUGGCACUCACUCCAGCCUGGGCAACAAGAGCAAAACUCUGUCUCAAAAAAAAAAAAAAAAUUAGUAUAAGCCUUUUGUUUAAGGAAUUCAAAUGUUAUAAACAUAAAAUAAAAGAAACCCUCUUUUCCUUU